AUUGAACGCUGGCGGCAGGCCUAACACAUGCAAGUCGAACGAGUGGCGGACGGGUGAGCAAUGUCUGGGAAACUGCCUGACGGAGGGGGAUAACUACUGGCAACGGUAGCUAAUACCGCAUAUCAUUAGAUGUGCCCUGAUGGGAUUAGUUUGUUGGUGGGGUAACGGCUCACCAGGGCGACGACCCCUAGCUGGUGUGAGAGGAUGACGAGCCAAACUGGAACUGAAACACGGUCCAGACUCCUAAGGGGGGCAGCAGUGGGGAAUGUUGCACAAUGGGCACAAGCCUGAUACAGCCAUGCCGCGUGUAUGAAGAAGGCCUACGGGUUGUAAAGUACUUUCAGCGGAGAGGCGUUACCCGCAGAGGAAGCACCGGCUAACUCCGUGCCAGCAGCCGCAGUAAUAC
rnacentral:rRNA from 1 species